AGUGAACGCUGGCGGCAGGCCUAACACAUGCAAGUCGAACGGCAGCACAGGGGGUAGCAAUACCCUGGGUGGCGAGUGGCGGACGGGUGAGGAAUACGUCGGAAUCUGCCUAUUUGUGGGGGAUAACGUAGGGAAACUUACGCUAAUACCGCAUACGACCUACGGGUGAAAGCGGAGGACCUUCGGGCGUUCGCGCAGAUAGAUGAGCCGACGUCGGA
rnacentral:rRNA from 1 species